GGUGCAUGUGAUGACACUGUUCAGCGACCAAAGUCUGACGCAAAUGAUUGCUACCUCAUUGUCUGAUGCACU
ensembl:snoRNA SNORD4A small nucleolar RNA, C/D box 4A